rnacentral:rRNA from 1 species
UGCCUGUACCAUAACCGACACAGGUGGGUAAGUAGAGUAUACUAAGGGGCGCGAGAUAACUCUCUCUAAGGAACUCGGCAAAAUAACUCCGUAACUUCGGGAGAAGGAGUGCCUUAUUCUUAAGGUUGCAAUAACAAGAUCCAAGCAACUGUUUAUCAAAAACACAGGUCUCCGCUAAGUCGUAAGACGAUGUAUGGGGGCUGACGCCUGCCCAGUGCCAGAAGGUUAAAGAAGUCGGUUAGCAAUAGCAAAGCUGGUAACUGAAGCCCUGGUGAACGGCGGCCGUAACGAUAACGGUCCUAAGGUAGCGAAAUUCCUUGUCGGGUAAGUUCCGACCCGCACGAAAGGCGUAAUGAUUUGGAUGCUGUCUCGGAGAGGGGCUCGGUGAAAUAGACUUGUCUGUGAAGAUGCGGACUACCUGCACCAGGACAGAAAGACCCUAUGAAGCUUUACUGUAACUUGAAAUUGAAAUUGGACUUUAUUCGCGCAGUAUAGGUGGGAGGCGUUGAUUAUAAUCUUGUGGGAUUAUUGGAGCCAUCAGUGAGACACCACUCUUGUAAUGUUAGAUUUCUAACUUUGAAUCAUUAUCUGGUCAAAGGACAGUUUCAGGCGGGCAGUUUGACUGGGGCGGUCGCCUCCUAAACGGUAACGGAGGCGUACAAAGGUUUCCUCUGAACGGUUAGAAAUCGUAUCUAGAGUGUAAAGGCAUAAGGAAGCUUGACUGUGAGACCUACAAGUCGAGCAGGGACGAAAGUCGGUCUUAGUGAUCUGACGGUACUGAGUGGAAAGGCCGUCACUCAACGGAUAAAAGUUACUCUAAGGAUAACAGGCUGAUCUCCCCCAAGAGUUCACAUCGACGGGGAGGUUUGGCACCUCGAUGUCGGCUCAUCGCAUCCUGGGGCGGUAGUACGUCCCAAGGGUUGGGCUGUUCGCCCAUGAAAGCGGUACGCGAGCUGGGUUCAGAACGUCGUGAGACAGUUCGGUCCAUAUCCGGUGUAGGCGCUAGAAUAUUGAGAGGAGCCUUCUUUAGUACGAGAGGACCGAGAAGGACAUACCUCUGGUGUACCAGUUAUCGUGCCAACGGUAAACGCUGGGUAGCUAUGUAUGGAGUGGAUAACCGCUGAAAGCAUCUAAGUGGGAAGCCCACCUCAAGAUAAGUAUUCUCAUCACGUAAGUGAGUAAGGUCACGGUAAGACUAACCGUUUGAUAGGCAUUAAGUGUAAGUACAGUAAUGUAUGUGCUGAGAUGUCCUAAUAGACCGAGGACUU